rnacentral:rRNA from 1 species
UAGUCAUAUGCUUGUCUCAAAGAUUAAGCCAUGCAUGUCUAAGUAUAAGCAACUAUACGGUGAAACUGCGAAUGGCUCAUUAAAUCAGUUAUCGUUUAUUUGAUAGUACCUUACUACUUGGAUAACCGUGGUAAUUCUAGAGCUAAUACAUGCUAAAAACCCCGACUUCGGAAGGGGUGUAUUUAUUAGAUAAAAAACCAAUGCCCCCCGGGGGGCCCUUGGUGAAUCAUAAUAACUUAACCAAUCCCAUGGCUUGCCCCCGGAAAGGGUCCAUCCAAUUUCCUCCCUAUCACUUUCCAAGGUUAGAAAAUGCCUACCCUGGUUUCCACCGGUUACCGGGAAUUAAGGUUCCUUUCCCGAAAAGGAACCUUAAAAACCGGUUCCCCCUCCCAAGAAGGCACCAGGCCCCCAAUUACCCCAUCCCCAACCCGGGAAGUUGUUACCAUUAAUUCUGAUACCGGGCCCUUUGGGUUCUGUUAUUGGAAUGAGUACAAUUUAAAUCCUUUAACGAGGAACAAUUGGAGGGCAAGUUUGGUGCCAGCAGCAGCAGUAAUUCCAGCUCCAAUAGCGUAUAUUAAAGUUGUUGCAGUUACAAAGCUCGUAGUUGAACCUUGGGCCUGGAUGGCCGGUCCGCCUCACCGCGUGUACUGGUCCGGCCGGGCCUUUCCUUCUGGGGAGCCGCAUGCCCUUCACUGGGCUGCAGGGGAACCAGGACUUUUACUUUGAAAAAAUUAGAGGGUUCAAAGCAGGCCUUUGCUCGAAAACAUAGACAUGGAAUAAUAGAAUAGGACGUGCGGUUCUAUUUUGUUGGUUUCUAGGACCGCCGUAAUGAUUAAUAGGGAUAGUCGGGGGCAUCAGUAUUCAAUUGUCAGAGGUGAAAUUCUUGGAUUUAUUGAAGACUAACUACUGCGAAAGCAUUUGCCAAGGAUGUUUUCAUUAAUCAGUGAACGAAAGUUAGGGGAUCGAAGACGAUCAGAUACCGUCGUAGUCUUAACCAUAAACUAUGCCGACUAGGGAUCGGUGGGUGUUAUCAUUUUGACUCGCUCGGCACCUUACGAGAAAUCAAAGUUUUUGGGUUCUGGGGGGAGUAUGGUCGC